rnacentral:misc_RNA from 1 species
GAUGAAGAACGUAGCGAAAUGCGAUAAGUAGUGUGAAUUGCAGAAUUCAGUGAAUCACCGAAUCUUUGAACGCACAUUGCGCCCCUUGGUAUCCCGAGGGGCAUGCCUGUUCGAGCGUCAUUUCACCACUCAAGCCUGGCUUGGUGUUGGGCGACGUCCCCUUUGGGGACGCGCCUCGAAACGCUCGGCGGCGUGGCACCGGCUUUAAGCGUAGCAGAAUCUUUCGCUUUGGAAGUCGGGGCCCCGUCUGCCGGAAGACCUACUCGCAAGGUUGACCUCGGAUCAGGCAGGGAUACCCGCUGAACUUAAGCAUAUCAAUAAGCGGAGGA